rnacentral:tRNA from 1 species
UGGAACUUAGCUCAGUUGGUUAGUAGCGUCUGACUGUUAAUCAGAAGGUCAUGGGUUCAAGCCCCAUAGUUCCAG